AGUUAGUAAAAGGCAGUAUUGCCACCAAUUGUUGGAUGAAGGACCAGCAGCGAAAGUGGACCAAGAAACCUUGACAGAAAUGGUGAAACCCAGUAUUGAUUAUGUGCGCCACAAAAAAUUCCGAUCUGGGAAUUACCCGUCAUCAUUAAGCAAUGAAACAGACCGGCUGGUGCACUGGUGCCACGGUGCCCCAGGGGUCAUCCACAUGCUCAUGCAGGCGUACAAGGUCUUUAAGGAGGAGAAGUACUUGAAAGAGGCCAUGGAGUGUAGCGAUGUGAUUUGGCAGCGAGGUUUGCUGCGGAAGGGCUACGGGAUAUGCCAUGGGACUGCUGGCAACGGCUACUCCUUCCUGUCCCUUUACCGUCUCACGCAAGAUAAGAAGUACCUCUACCGAGCUUGCAAGUUUGCAGAGUGGUGUCUAGAUUACGGAGCACACGGGUGCCGCAUUCCUGACAGACCCUAUUCGCUCUUUGAAGGCAUGGCUGGCGCUAUUCACUUUCUCUCCGAUGUCCUGGGACCAGAGACAUCACGGUUUCCAGCAUUUGAACUUGACUCUUCGAAGAGGGAUUAAAA
rnacentral:sRNA from 1 species